rnacentral:rRNA from 1 species
AGUGAACGCUGGCGGUAGGCCUAACACAUGCAAGUCGAACGGCAGCACAGUAAGAGCUUGCUCUUACGGGUGGCGAGUGGCGGACGGGUGAGGAAUACAUCGGAAUCUACUUUUUCGUGGGGGAUAACGUAGGGAAACUUACGCUAAUACCGCAUACGACCUACGGGUGAAAGCAGGGGAUCUUCGGACCUUGCGCGAUUGAAUGAGCCGAUGUCGGAUUAGCUAGUUGGCGGGGUAAAGGCCCACCAAGGCGACGAUCCGUAGCAGGUCUGAGAGGAUGAUCAGCCACACUGGAACUGAGACACGGUCCAGACUCCUACGGGAGGCAGCAGUGGGGAAUAUUGGACAAUGGGCGCAAGCCUGAUCCAGCCAUACCGCGUGGGUGAAGAAGGCCUUCGGGUUGUAAAGCCCUUUUGUUGGGAAAGAAAAGCAGCAGGUGAAUACCCCGCUGUUCUGACGGUACCCAAAGAAUAAGCACCGGCUAACUUCGUG